rnacentral:rRNA from 1 species
AUUGAACGCUGGCGGAAUGCUUUACACAUGCAAGUCGAACGGCAGCACGGGGGCAACCCUGGUGGCGAGUGGCGCACGGGUGAGUAAUACAUCGGAACAUGCCCAGUCGUGGGGGAUAACGUAGCGAAAGUUACGCUAAUACCGCAUACGAUCCAAGGAUGAAAGCGGGGGACCGCAAGGCCUCGCGCGAUUGGAGUGGCCGAUGUCAGAUGAGGUAGUUGGUGGGGUAAAGGCUCACCAAGCCGACGAGCUGUAGCUGGUCUGAGAGGACGACCGGCCACACUGGAACUGAGACACGGUCCAGACUCCUACGGGAGGCAGCAGUGGGGAAUUUUGGACAAUGGGCGCAAGCCUGAUCCAGCCAUUCCGCGUGCGGGAUGAAGGCCUUCGGGUUGUAAACUGCUUUUGUACGGAACGAAACGGCCUGCUCUAAUACAGCGGGCUAAUGACGGUACCGUAAGAAUAAGCACCGGCUAACUACGUGCCAGCAGCCGCAGUAAUAC